rnacentral:rRNA from 1 species
AUUGAACGCUGGCGGCAUGCCUUACACAUGCAAGUCGAACGGUAACGGGCCUUCGGGUGCCGACGAGUGGGGAACGGGUGAGUAAUGCAUCGGAACGUACCUUUCAGUGGGGGAUAACGUAGCGAAAGUUACGCUAAUACCGCAUAUUCUGUGAGCAGGAAAGCAGGGGAUCGCAAGACCUUGCGCUGAUUGAGCGGCCGAUGUCAGAUUAGCUAGUUGGUGAGGUAAAGGCUCACCAAGGCGACGAUCUGUAGCGGGUCUGAGAGGAUGAUCCGCCACACUGGAACUGAGACACGGUCCAGACUCCUACGGGAGGCAGCAGUGGGGAAUUUUGGACAAUGGGGGCAACCCUGAUCCAGCCAUGCCGCGUGAGUGAAGAAGGCC